rnacentral:lncRNA from 1 species
GAAGGAUUACUUACGAGACAUCAUAUUGUUGAGAAGAUGAAGGAGAUUGCAGAGAUGAAUGAGUAUCCAAAUCUUGGAGUAUAUUGAGAAAAGAAGACAAGAAAUCAGGUACCGUAGAAAGAUUUUAGUCCAAAAAUUAUAGAUGUUUGUCAGAUAAAUGGGGCUUCAUGGUAGCCUAUGUUCCUUCUCUGCUCUCCAUUUUUGUUAUGUCCUUAUCUCUCUCUCUUUGAUAGCACCAGUUGUAUAGUCUGAUAACAAACAUUUUACAAGUUAUAACAGAAACAAGAUCCAAGAUCCAGAAGCAUUGUCAGGGUCAUGUCUGGCUCAUGUUACAAUAAUGUAAGCAUCUAGACGAAAAGGUUCUGCUUAUUCGUAUCUCUAAUUAAAUUAAACUAUAAUAAUUAGUCCCUUGAUUUUAAUUUACAGACUCAAAAGAAAAAGACUAUCAAGAAGAUGACAUAAGGCUGAAGAAGCUUGAUUUAAUAUAGAAGCUGAUAUGGCUGUUGGAUUUAAAUUUCUGUUUUAAUCUAUCUUUGCAAUGAGACAAUAUAAGAUUCUUUUUAAUGGCUAUUAUAGUUUGUAUAAAGGAUCUUUUGGUUAACUUUCAUUUUCAGUUCUAAUGUUUAUUAAGCA